rnacentral:rRNA from 1 species
AUUGAACGCUGGCGGCAUGCCUUACACAUGCAAGUCGAACGGCAGCACGGGAGCAAUCCUGGUGGCGAGUGGCGAACGGGUGAGUAAUAUAUCGGAACGUGCCCAGUCGUGGGGGAUAACGUAGCGAAAGCUACGCUAAUACCGCAUACGAUCUAUGGAUGAAAGCGGGGGAUCGCAAGACCUCGCGCGAUUGGAGCGGCCGAUAUCAGAUUAGGUAGUUGGUGAGGUAAAGGCUCACCAAGCCGACGAUCUGUAGCUGGUCUGAGAGGACGACCAGCCACACUGGGACUGAGACAGGCCCAGACUCCUACGGGAGGCAGCAGUGGGAAUUUUGGACAAUGGGCGCAAGCCUGAUCCAGCAAUGCCGCGUGCAGGAUGAA